CAGAAAAUAGUUUAAAUGGAAAAUAUCAGCUUUGGGAGCUGGGGAUAAAGGUUUAAGUCCUUUUUUUCUGA
rnacentral:tRNA from 1 species